rnacentral:rRNA from 1 species
GGCAACAGCUCAAAUUUGAAAUCUGGCCCUCUCAGGGUCCGAGUUGUAAUUUAGAGAAGUGUUACCCGCGUCGGACCGUGUAUAAGUCUCCUGGAACGGAGUAUCAUAGAGGGUGAUAAUCCCGUCUUUGACACGGACUACCGAGGCUUUGUGGUGCGCUCUCGAA